CCUUGGAUUUGCACUUUAUGACUUAGUAUGCUGUAUUGUGGACUGAUUAUGUUAACUGAAAAGAUGAAGUCAUUAUCGGAAUUUUGCAGCACUCUAACUUAAACAGAAGAACAGCUAUUCACAUCUUUCAGCAUUUCCAUGUGUCAGAAUCAUGGUUCUGUAAUUGGUAAAGCAUGAUAUGUCAGGUUAUUUUCAUAUAAUUAUUUUUGAAGUAAUUACAACCACAACACAUCUUUGUUAUGUGAAGAGCUGUACAUCAUAAUGAUGCCUUGAUCUGAAGCAUAAGUCCAAAGGACUUAAUGUUUUUAAUAAUACUUUGUCACUGCAGGGGAUGGGGGGAGUGGAGAAAACAAAACAAAUAAUAGGGUGAAAAAAAGCAUUGACCUAAACUAACCACUAUGUGAAUUGCUUAGCAGCUUUACUUAUGGAAAUCCUUGAUUUGGAUGCCAGAGGGCAGCUGCUGAAAACAAUCCAGUAUAUAUAUUGUAUUGUCUGUUCAUUUCCAAGGCAACCCAUUCAACAUCACAGUAAUCCAAAUCUAUGCCUCAACCAGUAAUGCUGAAAAAGCUGAAGUUGAAUGGUUCUAU
rnacentral:lncRNA from 1 species